GAUGAACGCUGGCGGCGUGCCUAAUACAUGCAAGUCGAGCGAACAGAUGAGGAGCUUGCUCCUCUGACGUUAGCGGCGGACGGGUGAGUAACACGUGGAUAACCUACCUAUAAGACUGGGAUAACUUCGGGAAACCGGAGCUAAUACCGGAUAAUAUAUUGAACCGCAUGGUUCAAUAGUGAAAGACGGUUUUGCUGUCACUUAUAGAUGGAUCCGCGCCGCAUUAGCUAGUUGGUAAGGUAACGGCUUACCAAGGCAACGAUGCGUAGCCGACCUGAGAGGGUGAUCGGCCACACUGGAACUGAGACACUGUCCAGACUCCUACGGGAGGCAGCAGUAGGGAAUCUUCCGCAAUGGGCGAAAGCCUGACGGAGCAACGCCGCGUGAGUGAUGAAGGUCUUCGGAUCGUAAAACUCUGUUAUUAGGGAAGAACAAAUGUGUAAGUAACUAUGCACGUCUUGACGGUACCUAAUCAGAAAGCCACGGCUAACUACGU
rnacentral:rRNA from 1 species